CUGGGAGCCAAGGCACAUUUUAUAGGCUUGUGAGUUCCCAGCGUCACGAAGGGAGUGGAGCGAUAAGCUCCAUCGGCUGAAUAUCUCAAAUGACUGGGUUCUACACAUGAAUUCACUCAAGAAAGUAGAUGACCUCCCUCCAAGACAGGACCACGUGUUUUUGAAAAAUCAGUUUCACUCCAAUAACUCCAAGUCCAUCUGCAUUCUCAGGUCCAAUGUGGCUCUGCAGCCAGCCACAGCACAGGGGCAAUUAGAAGUGCCACAUCAGAUCUCAAGGCCAUCUGACUCAGCUUUGAUUUAAGAAAGGACAAGGUGCAGUGAUGACAGGCAGGACCAUCAUGUCAGAGCCCAGCAAUAGAAGCAUCUUCUCAAGAUCAGUUCAACUCAGCUCUGGACUGGUGCCUGACAGUUCCAGAUCAAAGGGGUCAAGAUAUCUGACCUAUUUACAGAAAAGGAGCAGAUUGAGAGCUUGCCUGUACCGGUGCAGAAGGAUGCCAACCUCAGCAGAGUUUACUUUUUUCUGAAGAGCACACCAAAACCUCCUGAAGUUCACCAGGGAUUUUGUAGCUCCUUUCUGGCAAGAAAUCUGCUGGUCAUCUGACUUUUCCUGUGGUUUCUCAGAUGAUGCCUUCAGGACUUGCUGUGCCUUCUGUCCCUCCCCACAGGAUGGAAAGAUUUUGGUAUCACCUGAGCCACACUUCACUGUGGAGCCCAGCAGAGCCCCACAGACACUUGGAAGAGGAUUAUGGGUCCUUUACCACAAAUCUAGAGACAGUCAUCACCUGCCUUGGCUUGUGACUACCUCUUCACAGGAAGGGAAGUCAAGAUACUGGAUCAAGAGCCCACAGAACCUGCGGUCUCCAUCCUCAGCAGUAGAACAAGGGAAAGGGGACAGCAGCAUAGGCAAUUUUACAAGUGUUUAAUAUUCACCAUACUCCAGAGAGAGAGACCAAGCUGGUUCCCCAAACUUCCUACGCUGAUAGCCUGAUACCAAAGUACAUGUGGAUGCCUGGGAGCUGCACCAGCUGCUGAAGGGGGCAGCAGGGUAAGAACAUUCUUUCUCCAUGUUUGGGAGCCUGGGGGGGGUUGAGGGUUUUUUAAACAUUUUUUGUACCCAUGGGCAUUGCCACAUGCCCUUUGGAGCCUCAUAUGUGAUGUCUUCGUGGAGUGAUGCUGAGAGCUCUCUGGCUGAAAAGUCCCAAGGUUGGUGUCACAGAGCCAAACUGUUCUCUCAGGUCUGCUCCAAGCACUCUGAGGUUUGACUGGUUGGGUAUAGCCAAGACCACAAUUAAAAAUGAGGAUUUUUGCAGUUCAUUUAACUGGUAGAAAUUUCUGCUUGCUUUUUAAUCCUUGAAGAAAUUUUAACUUCUUGCUGACAUAGGUCCAUAUUAUGUAUCUGUAAAGGCAGUAAAACAACAUACGGAUAGCUGUUAAUGCUAUAAUAGAACCUCAGUGAUAAGCAAGAGUUACUGUGAGGCCACCUUAAACCCUGCUGAAACUUAAAUGCCAGGUUGUUAUUGUGGCUUGUUUUCUCUCACUUCUAGCUGCAUUUUACUGUUUGGUUUCCUAAAUCUCAGCAGCAAAAGGACAGCUUAGCUCCCUUGAAGACUGUGCUGCUCUGAAAUUAUGACUGUUGCUGUGGGGGAAGGGGUUGCACUCUCUGUGACAUGAUUUGUAGGACCCUCUAUAAAUCAUUUACCAGCAUGCCUUCACUGUAAGCUUACAGUUUGUGGAGCUUUAAGAAAUGUAAGGAAUAACAAUGUGCAAAGGAAGAAAAACCAAACCAACAGAGGAAGAAAUGGACAUCUCUGAAACCCUUGCCUGGAAAACCAAAAGUCUGUAUUUAAGUCACAGGGACAAGCACUGGAAGCAUUUUAAUGGGUGAGUGCCUUCCUGCACCACCACCACCAUGUGUUGUAAAAAUUGCGGCUUCGCGGCUUCCGAGCAGACGGGGAGGGGGCUUGGCCAGCCCUGCAGGAGCAGAGCAGCUUGUGACCCUUGUGUCUCCCUCUUGAAGUCCUUAAUAAAUCAUCCUGCCCUGCUCAUAAAGUGGAGUUGAGCAGCAAAACAAAGGCCUGAGCAUGCAAACCCAAUUGGAAAAUCAAGGUAUGCUAAAAGCAGAGGGCAAUACCUUCCAUUUCUGUCACAGGGCAACACCCACGUGUGGCUGCAGAUAACACCUGAGCAACCACUGGGGAGCUAACAUGGAGGUUGCAUGGCAUUUUUCUUACUGCUGAAGAAGAUGUCUGGCAUAAUUCUUAUGCCAAAUGGAAAUGCUGAUACAGAUUUUAAGUGAUAAUUAAUGUCAGUCAGCAUUCUUAUAAAUGGAAAUCCUGUCUCAAAAAAUAUUCCUUUUUUUGAUGAUGGAUUUACUGAUUCAGCAAUCUUUCUUUCCUUGUCAGGUGCUUCACUUAAUACUGUACAGUGAGAUGGUUAAAAAAUAAGCACUCCACAAUAUCAGUAAAAAUUGCAUUAAAUGAAGAAGUGAGGUGUUUUUAGUGAGAUUCAAACAGAGGUGUUUCUGCUGCAGGUCAGAAGUGACCAACAUAUUGAAAGCAUUUUCUACCCAAGCUGCACCUAAAUGAGGUGAGAGUUCUUCCUCAAGGAUGGGGCAAACAGUACCAAAUAUUCUGAUGAAGCCAAGGAGUUAAUUUCCCUCCAUUUUAUUGGCUGAAAGAGAGACGCCCUGGCGAUUCACUCUAUGAUCUCCCAUGGACUACAGUCCUUUCCCAGGGCAGAUCUGCUGUGGAGCUGGAAUCAGAGGAACUAGAUCAGAAUCCUCUAUUUGGUGAUAGUGGAAAAAAGUGCUUCAGAGAAACUGUAAAUCAUGUAGAAGAUGGUGCAACAUUUCGUAAGGUAGGCUCACUCAAACAAAUUGUAUCUAAAUACAGGCCUGUGAAAAGGGUAGGGAUGCAGAGUGGAAGCCACUCCUAGAAAUGGAAAAGCAGGGUAAUCCCACAAUAUCAGCAAUGGUUUUAAAGUCAUAAUGCAGAAGCAGCUGAAGACGAAUUGUGAGGGCAAAGCUGCACUAAAAGGAGGUAAAUUAAUUUCUAUAGAAAAAGAAAGGAAUGUGAGCAGAUUUAGGCAUGGGCUUCUUAGGUUGUAUAUAGUUGAGGCCAUUUCCUGAUAGCUCAGCUCCGCAGUUUAUCUUUUUUAACAAGGGUGUAGCAAGACAGGAAAAAAAAACCACCACAGCAAGUGCCACAAAAAUAGUUUAAGAUCUGAAGAAAGUGCUCUAAAGUAAAAAACAGAACACAAUCUGUUUAGCCUAUCAAAAAGAAAAAAAAAAAAAAAGAAAAAGAUUGAAAGGUAACUUGAUUACAGUGUGCUAUUAGUGAGCCAUGAAGGGUUUUAGCAUGGGAGGUAACAAGACCCAGUAACUGGAGUCUCAAGAAAGACAAAUUGACAGAAUAAGAAUACAUUUUUAAGAAAAAGGGGCUAAAGCUCUGAACAAGGUAUCAAUAGAAGUAACAAAUCCUCCAGCUCUUAGUGUCUUCUGAUCAGGACAUACAGCUGCACUUCAAGCAGAAUUCGUAUUUUUGUCAAACACGCCAUUGCUAUCUCCCUAAUUUUUAUGAAAGUCUCCCUUUAGCAUUUCUAAUGGCUGAGACCUUUUGUAGCAAUAAAUAGAAAGGAAUAACAGAAGAGCCCAGAAAUUAUUCCCCAGAAUAUUUUUAAGUACUCAGUAAUUACAGGAAGUAUUAAAUAAUUGAAGAGAGUAGUUUGCACAAAACCUCUGGUCUGCAUUCUUUAAAAGAAAUUCCUGGCUCACAAUUCCUGGCUUCUUUCUCUCUGCUCCUUGCAGAAUCAUUGGCAGGAACACAACAGCAUUUAGCAGGUUUUUCCCAGUGCUGCAGCUCUUGAUGGCAGAGACUGAGGCUUCGGAAAUGCCCUAGGAAGGCUGUCAGGAGCCAGUGGGCAUGGGGCAGUGACAGCAGACUUGCAGGCCAAGACCAGCCUCCCUACCAGCUUGUGUGAUAGCUGCUCUAAUCACCACUCCCACACACCUUAGCCCAGAUAUCCAAGAUACAGAAACUGAUCCUGCCCGUGGGAUACAGGAUUCUCUUUUCAAGAAAUAAUAUCUAGACAAUGAUCAAAGGAAUCCAUAGUCAGUGGAUUAAAUGGGAGCUGUGGAUGCUGGCUUGUAUUAGCUUCCAAUUGAGUGUCUGCUGCUGAUUUUGAAGUGCCUAAACUAAAGACACAAGAGACUGAAAAUGUUGCCUAGCUGUGCUUGAUCUCCAUGUCCCAGAGGAGUAAAGAAAGCAAUAAAAACUAAUACUGUCAGGAACUGCAACAUGCCCCUAGUGACAAUGCACAGGGAGCAAGAAAAGCAGAGUAGGAAGCUGUUGCCCCACUGUGGUGGUUUGACCAGGAAGGAGUGGGAAUUCUGGGAUGCUGUGGUCAAA